GAUGAACGCUGGCGGCGUGCCUAAUACAUGCAAGUAGAACGCUGAAGCUUGGUGCUUGCACCGAGCGGAUGAGUUGCGAACGGGUGAGUAACGCGUAGGUAACCUGCCUGGUAGCGGGGGAUAACUAUUGGAAACGAUAGCUAAUACCGCAUGACAACAGUUAUUGCAUGAUAACUGUUUAAAAGGGGCAACUGCUCCACUACCAGAUGGACCUGCGUUGUAUUAGCUAGUUGGUGGGGUAACGGCUCACCAAGGCGACGAUACAUAGCCGACCUGAGAGGGUGAUCGGCCACACUGGGACUGAGACACGGCCCAGACUCCUACGGGAGGCAGCAGUAGGGAAUCUUCGGCAAUGGACGGAAGUCUGACCGAGCAACGCCGCGUGAGUGAAGAAGGUUUUCGGAUCGUAAAGCUCUGUUGUAAGAGAAGAACGAGUGUGAGAGUGGAAAGUUUACACUGUGACGGUAUCUUACCAGAAAGGGACG
rnacentral:rRNA from 1 species